rnacentral:rRNA from 1 species
UACAGAGGGUGCAAGCGUUGUUCGGAAUUAUUGGGCGUAAAGCGUGCGUAGGUGGUUCGUUAAGUCCGUUGUGAAAGCCCCGAGCUCAACUUGGGAAUUGCAGUGGAUACUGGCGAGCUGGAGUGCGGUAGAGGAAGGUGGAAUUCCCGGUGUAGCGGUGAAAUGCGUAGAGAUCGGGAGGAACACCAGUGGCGAAGGCGACUUCCUGGCCUGUUCUUGACGCUGAGGCGCGAAAGCUAGGGGAGCAAACGGG